rnacentral:lncRNA from 9 species
AUGCCAGCGUCUGAAGCCUGGUGGCCCCUGAGCGGUUCACUCAAUUACUAUACAGUCUUGCAAUUGGAAUUAUUUUGUGAAAGACCAGGGAAAACACAAAAACCUGUCUAUUCUUGUCUGAAAGGGGGACCUUGCCAGGGAGAAGAGAAAGGAUUUACCCGCUUCCUAAAAUCACCGAAAGACCCAUCCCAGAAUUCAGCCUGGUGGGUGGAUGCCCCAGCCAAAAGGCAUCCUUGUAAUGGAAAGAUAAAGAAAAUGGAAAUGAUUAAAGAUUCCACAAUGAAACUUGAGCUCCAGAGGAUAUGAGAGAGCCAUGGUAGGAAGAAUUUUUUGGUCAACCUCAAUGUAGAUAAACUGAAAUUAGAAGCGUGUUGCAUUCACCUGAGGUAAGUGACUGAUACAGGUCAUUAACCCAAGAGAAGGCUCUCUGUGUCAAUAAACAAAGGACAUCUAUGCCAGUUCGUAUGUUACUCCCCAGAACUAAACUUCUUUCUUUCUUUUUUUCUUUUUAUGGCCAUACCUGCAGCAUAUGGAAGUUCCCAGGCUAGGGGUUGAAUAGGAGCCUAGCCACAGCCACAGCCACAGCUACACAGAAUCUGGCCACAUCUGAGAUCUAAGCCACAGGUCCUGGCAACGCUGCAUCCUUCACCCACUGAGUGAGGCCAGGGAUCGAACCUGUUUCCUCACAGACACUAUGUCAGGGUCUUAACCCACCGAGCCACAGCAGGAACUCAACUUAUUUCUUGUAAAUACAGAUCAUCCGAAGUAUAAAGCAUGAAAGUAGGAAGACAGGUAGUAGUUAUACAUAGGAUGAGAAUAAAGGGUCAGAAUCAGGAAUCUGUUCAACCAGUCAAUCAUUCGGGGAAGACACACAUGUCUUUAUAAUGUAUAACAUAUAUGAGGUGUGCGUAUUUAUUUAUAUAUCAUACAAUAGACUAUAUAUAACAUUUACACAACCCUAUCGAUGUCAUAUAUAAUGCUGUACAGAUAUACCUAAGUUUAUGAAACUUUGCCUUAUUGGCCUUUGUGAAUACUGCAUUUUUCACAAAUCGAAGGUUUGUGUCAACCCUGCUUCAAGCCAGCCUAUUGGGGCCAUUUUUUUUCCCACACCAUGUGCUCACGUUCUCUCUCUUGUGUCAUAUUUUGGUAAUUCUUGGAAUAUUUUAAAUUUUUUCCUUUUCUUUUUUUUUUCUUUUGCCUUUUCCAGGGCCACUUCCGAUGGCAUAUGGAGGUUCCUAGGCUAGGGGUCGAAUUGGAGCUGUAGCUGCCAGCCUACACCAGAGCCACAGCAACAUGGGAUCCGAGCCGCAUCUGCAACCUACACCACAGCUCACGGCAAUGCUGGAUCCUUAACCCACUGAGCAAGGCCAGGGAUUGAACCCACAACCUCAUGGUUCCUAGUCGGAUUCCUUAACCACUGCGCCACGACGGGAACUCCUCCUUUUCAUUAUAUUUGUGUUGGUUUCUGUAAUCAGUGGUCUUUGAUGGGACUGCUAUUACUCACUGCAGGCUCGAUAGUGGUUUUGUUUGCCAUAAAAUAUUUUUAAAUUAAGGUAUGUACUUGGCUUUUCUAGACAUAACGCUAUCACACACUACAUAGGCUACAGUCUUGAGAACACAUAAUUUUGUAUGGACUGGGAAACCAAAACAUGUGUGGGACUCACUUUAUUUUGGGGAUCUGGAAUUUAGCUCAAUAUCUCCAAGAUGUGCCUGAUGAUUAUAUAAUAUAUAUAUAUAUAUAUGUUAUAUAUACCAUAUAGCAUUUAUAUCCCAUAUAUAAAUUAUAAAUGUUAUCUACAAAUGUAUAUUUUAUAUAACCUAUUAUAAUAUAUAACCCCCUUCUCUAUAUGUAUUUAUUAUAUACUUUAUAUAUGUGUGAGUAUAUGUCUAUAUGCCUGAACAUGUGUGUGUAGAUAUAUAUAUUGCAUUUAUAUAAAUAUGUAAACCCUCGCUAUUUGUAUUUAUCAUAUACCUUAUGUAUUAUAUGUAUAUAUGUGUGUAUGUGUGCCUGAAUAUAUACACACACACAUAUAUGUGUAUAUAUAUGUAUAUAUAUAUAUGCAUGUGUAUGUAUAGCUGUGUGUGUGUGUGUGUGUGUGUGUGUGUAAUUUCAAGUACCCCGGAGAUAGGAAGUUUAUAAAGUCUUAGGCAAUUACAUGGAAAAGUUGCUGCAAAAUGUCAUAGAAAAGUGAACUCAGAGUUUCCUGGUGGCUCCGUGGGUUAAAGCUUGGGUGUUGUCACUGCUGUGGCUCUGGUUACAGCUCUGCGUCGGAUUUGAUCCCUGGCCCAUGAACUUCUGCAUGCCUUGGGUGUGCCCCCCCCCCACCUCACCCAAAGAACUGUAUUUGGGGCCACAGAUUUGGGAUCCAGUGUCCUUAGUUUUCAUACGCGAGCACAAGCAAAAGGGGUUCUCAGCCUCCAUGAAUUCCGUGAAAUUCAGGAGACUGAGUCAUGUUUAACACUCAGGGCCAUUUAAAAGUCACUUAGGCUAAUCAUGUCCAGAGAUGAAAUGAGAACUAGGAAAAGCACUUUUAAAAACCAGAUGGAAAGUCAGAGCAUCUCUGCAACAGAGUACACCCCUUGCAAAAUUGAUGGUCGUUUGGGGGUUUAAGAUAACAGGAGAACAAAGCCACCGAGAGCAGGCUCCCAACCAAGA